AUCUUUGUUCAGCGGUAGUAUCAUAGUCCAUGAGGUUUAUCUGAAGCGUGAUUAUUGCUAAUUGAAGCUUUUGACCAAUACCCUGCCUUAUUGACUUGAAACUUAAUCAGGUAUCACACUUUUUUAUAGCUUCCUUUAGGGU